rnacentral:lncRNA from 1 species
UGGUAUAUAAACACUACCAAGUAGUGUGAUUUUUCCAAUGUGGGACUCAAAGAGUCUUUUUUUUAAUUUACACUAUACAUGGUUCUUACACUUGUGUUUAUUUCAAUACCAAGUUCCCUCCAAAUUCUUCAUCAUGUUCCAACACCUUGUUAAGAUCUUAUUUAAGUGACGCAAGGUAUCCACUAAGUGUAUAACAGUGAGAUGAAGAUAUUUUCAUUUUGCCUUCCACCUGGAGAUAUUAUCUAGUUCAAGGCUCAUGCUAGGGUGAGAGAGCCUAUCAUAUCUCUCACCAAUGGGCAGCUGUUAAGGGCCUUUAGAUUAAAAGGUCUAUAGAGCUUAUGUUAAGCUUUCCAUAUCAGAAUAUUUUUCCUUUUGGCCUCUAACUUUUUCAACCGUGAUUUCUUUUACUUUCUCUGUUUCCAGUAAUUCUUUUAAUUUUUAAUACAAUACUACUUCUAUCUUUUAAUAUAAGAUCAUUUUUUAAUUUUCAAUCA